CAGCCGCCCGGUAAUACGUAGGUCCCGAGCGUUGUCCGGAUUUAUUGGGCGUAAAGCGAGCGCAGGCGGUUAGAUAAGUCUGAAGUUAAAGGCUGUGGCUUAACCAUAGUACGCUUUGGAAACUGUUUAACUUGAGUGCAAGAGGGGAGAGUGGAAUUCCAUGUGUAGCGGUGAAAUGCGUAGAUAUAUGGAGGAACACCGGUGGCGAAAGCGGCUCUCUGGCUUGUAACUGACGCUGAGGCUCGAAAGCGUGGGGAGCAAACAGGAUUAGAUACCCCUGUAGUCCCUGUCUCUUAUACAC
rnacentral:rRNA from 1 species